UACCACUCCUUCCACAUCCAAUAUGGUUGUGCUCUGAUUUAUGUGUUUUUUUGCUGCAAUUGAUGCAGCAGGAAACUUAAUAGCAAAGGUCGUCCAUCCUUAUCAACUCCAUGAUAUCCUUGUGGAUAGUACUUAACCACUUCAUUGUACUCCUUGAAAUCAAAGUCCUUAACAAAGAAACCAAAAGAAGAAAUUUCAGACACAAAUUAAAAAGUUGCACCAUAGAAGCAGGUAGUAGUUCAUCUAAGAUAAGUGCCUGGCGGAACGCAUCCACUGCCUGUAGCUCUUCAGCAUCGAGGUUAUCCUCUAUACUAGCAG